UUGAGGCGUACCCCCGCGCAGCUCCGCGGCGGGGCGAGCGGGCGUCGGCCGUGGCUUGGCCGGCGGAGGGAGCGGAGCGCGCGUGGCACCGCCCCGAAAGAUCCAGGGUCGGGUUUGAUUUCGGCGCGCGGCCUAGAAGAGGCGGGAACCCGCGUGCUGGUGCCUUCCUGUCUCUCUGGCUUCCAUGAUUUGUCCCUGUGGCCGGAAUGGAUUAAGGGCCCUAUUGGUUGUGGGCUUUCCGAGUGGGAAUGUGGGGCUGAGCGACGUGAAUUUAGGGACGGGCCAUUGACAGAACGGGCAUAGUGUUUCAUCUUAGAGUGUCAGCUGUAUUGCCACUUAGAGGUGGCCGGCCCAAGUAAGGUUUCCCAUCCAGUUAUGGAAAAGGGGAAGAAAAACCUUUGCGGUGUCACCCACCCUUAAAUCCGAAUGAAGAUCCUCUUCUUCAUGGCCUUGCCUGAUAGCUAGCUCGUCGCGACGCAAACAUAAACCGUGUGCUGGAGCCGCCUUGACUCUUCCGUUUAUGGUGCAUCCGAAGCUGGUGUAUUGUCUCUGCUGUAGAGUCACUUGACUAGUCUGACCACAUCAACGUGAAGAGAAAGACUCUCCACCCUGGGAGAGCAGGAGGACCAUGUGGACAAGGAACAUGGAAACCGUUUACAGCACCAUGUAGAAACCAACAAAAGUGACUUUCGCUUCUAGCGUUCAGACGUGUUAUGGAGGAAACACUUUUCGUGCCUUAUUUUCUGUAGUCAUUGUUAAUCUCUCUGUAAUAAUAACCAAAAUUUAAAAAUUG